UACAGAGGGGGCAAGCGUUGUUCGGAAUUACUGGGCGUAAAGCGCGUGUAGGCGGCAACGCAAGUCGGGCGUGAAAUCCCACGGCUCAACCGUGGAAGUGCACUCGAAACUGCGUAGCUAGAGUCCUGGAGAGGAAGGUGGAAUGCUUGGUGUAGAGGUGAAAUUCGUAGAUAUCAAGCGGAACACCGGUGGCGAAGGCGGCCUUCUGGACAGUGACUGACGCUGAGACGCGAAAGCGUGGGGAGCAAACAGG
rnacentral:rRNA from 1 species